rnacentral:rRNA from 1 species
ACGCCCCAAACUCUUAUCGGGAGGGUGCAGUAGGGAAUCUUCCACAAUGGGCGAAAGCCUGAUGGAGCAACGCCGCGUGUGUGAUGAAGGCUUUCGGGUCGUAAAGCACUGUUGUAUGGGAAGAACAGUCUAGAAUAGGAAAUGAUUUUAGUUUGACGGUACCAUACCAGAAAGGGAGGGCUAAAUACGUGCCAGCAGCCGCGGUAAUACGUAUGUCCCGAGCGUUAUCCGGAUUUAUUGGGCGUAAAGCGAGCGCAGACGGUUUAUUAAGUCUGAUGUGAAAGCCCGGAGCUCAACUCCGGAAUGGCAUUGGAAACUGGUAAC